UUGGCGACGGGUGAGUAACGCGUGGGGAACCUGCCUUGCACCGGGGGAUAACACUUAGAAAUAGGUGCUAAUACCGCAUAAGCGCACAGAGCCGCAUGGCUCAGUGUGAAAAACUCCGGUGGUGCAAGAUGGACCCGCGUCUGAUUAGCUGGUUGGCGGGGUAACGGCCCACCAAGGCGACGAUCAGUAGCCGGCCUGAGAGGGUGAACGGCCACAUUGGGACUGAGACACGGCCCAAACUCCUACGGAAGGCAGCAG
rnacentral:rRNA from 1 species